rnacentral:rRNA from 1 species
UGGGGAAUUUUGGACAAUGGGGGAAACCCUGAUCCAGCCAUCCCGCGUGUGCGAUGAAGGCCUUCGGGUUGUAAAGCACUUUUGGCAGGAAAGAAACGUCAUGGGUUAAUACCCCGUGAAACUGACGGUACCUGCAGAAUAAGCACCGGCUAACUACGUGCCAGCAGCCGCGGUAAUACGUAGGGUGCAAGCGUUAAUCGGAAUUACGGGGCGUAAAGCGUGCGCAGGCGGUUCGGAAAGAAAGAUGUGAAAUCCCAGAGCUUAACUUUGGAACUGCAUUUUUAACUACCGGGCUAGAGUGUGUCAGAGGGAGGUGGAAUUCCGCGUGUAGCAGUGAAAUGCGUAGAUAUGCGGAGGAACACCGAUGGCGAAGGCAGCCUCCUGGGAUAACACUGACGCUCAUGCACGAAAGCGUGGGGAGCAAACA